rnacentral:rRNA from 1 species
AACGGCCGUACCAUGCUGAAUAUACCGGUUCUCGUUAGAUCACCGAAGUUAAGCAUGAUUGGGCGCGGUCAGUACUUGGGUGGGUGACCGCCUGGGAACACUGCGUGCCGUU